rnacentral:rRNA from 1 species
GUAGGGGGCAAGCGUUGUCCGGAUUUACUGGGCGUAAAGAGCGUGUAGGCGGCCAAACAGGUCCGUUGUGAAAACUGGAGGCUCAACCUCCAGACGUCGACGGAAACCGUGUGGCUAGAGUCCGGAAGAGGAGAGUGGAAUUCCUGGUGUAGCGGUGAAAUGCGCAGAUAUCAGGAAGAACACCAAUGGCGAAGGCAGCUCUCUGGGACGGUACUGACGCUGAGACGCGAAAGCGUGGGGAGCGAACAGGAUUAGAUACCCUGGUAGUCCACGCCGUAAACGAUGGGUGCUAGGUGUGGGAGGUGUCGACUCCUUCCGUGCCGUAGCUAACGCAUUAAGCACCCCGCCUGGGGAGUACGGCCGCRAGGCUA